UGGGGAAUAUUGCACAAUGGGCGCAAGCCUGAUGCAGCCAUGCCGCGUGUAUGAAAAAGGCCUUCGGGUUGUAAAGUACUUUCAGCGGGGAGGAAGGUGUUGAGGUUAAUAACCUCAGCAAUUGACGUUACCCGCAGAAGAAGCACCGGCUAACUCCGUGCCAGCAGCCGCGGUAAUACGGAGGGUGCAAGCGUUAAUCGGAAUUACUGGGCGUAAAGCGCACGCAGGCGGUCUGUCAAGUCGGAUGUGAAAUCCCCGGGCUCAACCUGGGAACUGCAUUCGAAACUGGCAGGCUAGAGUCUUGUAGAGGGGGGUAGAAUUCCAGGUGUAGCGGUGAAAUGCGUAGAGAUCUGGAGGAAUACCGGUGGCGAAGGCGGCCCCCUGGACAAAGACUGACGCUCAGGUGCGAAAGCGUGGGGAGCAAACA
rnacentral:rRNA from 1 species